UCAUUAACCUUUCAAAAACAGGGUGCGUCGCGGCCCCCCUCCGGGGGCGGUUUGGGGUCCUCCCCUUGACGCGCGCACGACUGCAUCCUUACUUUACGAGCACCUUCUGUUCUCCCUCGGCGGGGCAACCUGCCGUUGGAACCGAAUAAACCCUUUUUUGCAUCCAGCAUUACCCGUUCCGAAACAAACAAUCGUUACAACUUUCAACAAUGGAUCUCUUGGCUCUGGCAUCGAUGAAGAACGCAGCGAAAUGCGAUAAGUAGUGUGAAUUGCAGAAUUCAGUGAAUCAUCGAAUCUUUGAACGCACAUUGCGCCCCUUGGUAUUCCGGGGGGCAUGCCUGUUCGAGCGUCAUCUACACCCUCAAGCUCUGCUUGGUGUUGGGCGUCUGUCCCGCCUCAGCGCGCGGACUCGCCCCAAAUCCAUUGGCAGCGGUCCUUGCCUCCUCUCGCGCAGCACAUUGCGCUUCUCGAGGGGCUCCGGCCCGCGUCCAACAAGAAAACAUUACCGUCUUUGACCUCGGAUCAGGUAGGGAUACCCGCUGAACUUAAGCAUAUCAAUAA
rnacentral:misc_RNA from 1 species